CAACGCCGCGUGAGUGAUGAAGACCCUAGGGUUGUAAAGCUCUGUCGGAGGGGAAGAAAUAAUGACGGUACCCUCCAAGAAAAGCCCCGGCUAACUACGUGC
rnacentral:rRNA from 1 species